rnacentral:misc_RNA from 1 species
AAGAAUAUAAUGUAUAUUGCCAUAAUCACUUGCCUGGAAAUUUGCUUUUCUGGGAUAGUAAUUCCAGGCAUAAUUUUUGAAUUCCAGUAAGUAAACAAUCAGUAAUAAUCUGUAUGAAAACCCAUGAACUUUAACAGAGACAUCAAUUGAGCCCUUGAACCUUUUUUUUUUUCUGAAUCUAUCAAGUUCAAUUCAUCCAAAU